GUAUUCGCCGGAGAUGGCAAGUAAAAUAGUGGUCCUGUGCGCUAUACUCCACAAUAUCGCGGUAAGGAGUAGCGUAGAGCUUCCUCAGACAGAGGAAUUGCCUGAUGAGGAGCCAGGGGUUGUCCGACACUUCGGUGGGGGGAGUGUUACAAGGAGGGGGAGCCAAGUCAGGGCAAGCAUUGUUGCUGAAUUUUUCAGCUGAAAGACCACACAAACUGAGGACGACCACAACGGCAAGCACCACAUGAUGCACCAGCUCAGCACCCUUCCCCUUCUCACUCCCCCUCCACUUCCCAGUCCCCCUCCCCUUCUCACUCCCCCUCCCCUUCUCACUCCCCCUCCCCUUCUCACUCCCCCUCCCCUUCUCACUCCCCCUCAGCUUCCCAAUCCCCCUCAGCUUCCCAAUCACCCUCAGCUUCACAAUCCACCUCAGCUUCCCAGUCACCCUCAGCUUCCCAGGCCCCCUCAGCUUCCCAGGCCCCCUCAGCUUCCCAGGCCCACUCCACUUUCCACUCCCCUUCUCAGCCAACCUCUCCUUCUCUUUCUGUGACCCCUUCUCCUCCUUCCCAUACCCCUUCUCCUUCUACUUCCAACUCACCUUCUCAGCCCCCCUCACCCUCUAUUGGCCUAACAUUUUCACCGCCCCCCUCGCCCUCUCAAUCAGACCCACCCUCUGAAAUUACAUCCCCAAUCCAACCUCCUUCCCCCAUCCAGCCUCCUUCCCCCAUCCAGCCUCCUUCCCCCAUCCAGCCUCCUUCCCCCAUCCAGCCUCCUUCCCCAAUCCCUCCUCCUUCCCCCAUCCAGCCGCCUUCCCCCAUCCAGCCGCCAUCCCCACCCAGUGAAUGGGCAGAGGAAGCCCCUGAAGACAGUUCAGGGAGUCUUCAUGUUGCCGAGGAAAAUGUUGCAGUUGGAGAUCCUACAAGUUUUGGAGGCAUUCUUUACACCAUGCGCCAAU